CUAUACAUGCAGUCGAACGAGUUCUGAUUAUUGAAAGGUGCUUGCAUCUUGAUUUAAUUUUGAACGAGUGGCGGACGGGUGAGUAACACGUGGGUAACCUGCCCUUAAGUGGGGGAUAACAUUUGGAAACAGAUGCUAAUACCGCAUAAAUCCAAGAACCGCAUGGUUCUUGGCUGAAAGAUGGCGUAAGCUAUCGCUUUUGGAUGGACCCGCGGCGUAUUAGCUAGUUGGUGAGGUAACGGCUCACCAAGGCAAUGAUACGUAGCCGAACUGAGAGGUUGAUCGGCCACAUUGGGACUGAGACACGGCCCAAACUCCUACGGGAGGCAGCAGUAGGGAAUCUUCCACAAUGGACGCAAGUCUGAUGGAGCAACGCCGCGUGAGUGAAGAAGGCUUUCGGGUCGUAAAACUCUGUUGUUGGAGAAGAAUGGUCGGCAGAGUAACUGUUGUCGGCGUGACGGUAUCCAACCAGAAAGCCACGGCUAACUACGUGCCAGCAGCCGCGGUAAUACGUAGGUGGCAAGCGUUAUCCGGAUUUAUUGGGCGUAAAGCGAGCGCAGGCGGUUUUUUAAGUCUGAUGUGAAAGCCCUCGGCUUAACCGAGGAAGUGCAUCGGAAACUGGGAAACUUGAGUGCAGAAGAGGACAGUGGAACUCCAUGUGUAGCGGUGAAAUGCGUAGAUAUAUGGAAGAACACCAGUGGCGAAGGCGGCUGUCUGGUCUGUAACUGACGCUGAGGCUCGAAAGCAUGGGUAGCGAACAGGAUUAGAUACCCUGGUAGUCCAUGCCGUAAACGAUGAAUGCUAGGUGUUGGAGGGUUUCCGCCCUUCAGUGCCGCAGCUAACGCAUUAAGCAUUCCGCCUGGGGAGUACGACCGCAAGGUUGAAACUCAAAGGAAUUGACGGGGGCCCGCACAAGCGGUGGAGCAUGUGGUUUAAUUCGAAGCAACGCGAAGAACCUUACCAGGUCUUGACAUCUUUUGAUCACCUGAGAGAUCAGGUUUCCCCUUCGGGGGCAAAUGACAGGUGGUGCAUGGUUGUCGUCAGCUCGUGUCGUGAGAUGUUGGGUUAAGU
rnacentral:rRNA from 1 species